UUUACUAUGCUGCUACAGAAAGGGGGCAAGCAGGCUUACCAUCUUCUAGAAGAUUCCUUUCAGGGACUGGAUGGAGGGGAACAAGGGGUUUCUCAGGAAGCUUCAAAGAGCAGAAAUGCAAGUCACAGGAAGUCCCAAGAAAAAUGGAGAAGGAAAUUGGAGUCGGUAGUUGAGCCUGUUGAGAGAGUUUGUUGCUGUUUAGAGGAAGGAGAGGGGUGAAAUGGAGCUGUAUCUCAGGAAACCCUGUGGUCAAAUUGCCUCAAAUUUGGAUCACUGACAGUAUCCUAGUUCCAUAAGGCACACCAAAUUUCAAGAACCCCAAAGGAAGGACUUUUGAUAGUUUUAUGUCUGCAGCAACCUGCGUCAUACCCAGAUGAAUUCAGCAACAGAUAAGUUCCUCUUCUGCCUGAAACUUUACUCAGUUUACACUGAAAUAUGGAAUGAAAGUUUGAAGUGAUCUAUGUGGUCCAAUAGCCAAGAUUGGAGAAACAGAAUCUUUUAAAAUAGGAAAUCAGACAUACCUACAGAAAAGGAUUGCAUAAGGAAAGGAUUGAAAAACUUUAUGCAAAAUUAGGGCUUAUAAAGUGCUCUGGA